GUCAGGAUAGCUCAGUUGGUAGAGCAGUGGAUUGAAAAUCCACAGGUCACCAGUUCAAGUCUGGUUCUUGACA
rnacentral:tRNA from 1 species